rnacentral:hammerhead_ribozyme from 1 species
AUCCUGUUGAUGAGUCUCAAAUAGAACUAAACGUGCGUCCUGAAU